AUGACCGUUGACCCUACUGUUCUUAUGGGACUACUGUACUUGUUACGACUUACGAUCCUACUACACACAGAUCACAGGAACUACUGUCACAAUGUCCAGGAACAGAUUUCUCAAUCUCCGGGAAUAGAUUUCACAACCAACAGGAACAACUACAGAGAGAACAUGAAUUCAAGCGAGAUAGAGAGAGAGAGAGAGAGGAGAAGUAGUUCGCCCUUCCAGGGUACUUCGAUUCGGGGAAGAAUAUCUCGGUGCGGAUGCUCAGGAGCCGUAUCACGGGAGCACCUGAGCCUCGGUAGCACCAAAUAUUCUCCCUUUGAUUCAGUUGUAUGA
rnacentral:rRNA from 1 species